rnacentral:lncRNA from 1 species
UCUCCCAAAUCUCUCUAAGUAUGUGAAAUCUCUCUCACAUAUCUCUUUGUAUGUGAAAUCUCUCCCAAAUCUCUCCAAGUAUGUCAAAUCUCUCCCAAAUCUCUCCAAGUAUGUCAAAUCUCUCCCAAAUCUCUCUAAGAAUGUGAAAUCUCUCUCACAUAUCUCUUUGUAUGUGAAAUCUCUCCAAGUAUGUCAAAUCUCUCCCAAAUCUCUCUAAGUAUGUGAAAUCUCUCCCAAAUCUCUCUAAGUAUGUGAAAUCUCUCUCACGUAUCUCUUUGUAUGUGAAAUCUCUCCAAGUAUGUCAAAUCUCUCCCAAAUCUCUCCAAGUAUGUCAAAUCUCUCCCAAAUCUCUCUAAGUAUGUGAAAUCUCUCUCACAUAUCUCUUUGUAUGUGAAAUCUCUCCAAGUAUGUCAAAUCUCUCCCAAAUCUCUCUAAGUAUGUGAAAUCUCUCUCACGUAUCUCUUCGUAUGCGAAAUCUCUCCAAGUACGUCAAAUCUCUCCCAAAUCUCUCUGAGAACGAGGAAUCUCUCUCAAAUCUCUCUCGAAAUCUCUCCCAACUUUCUAUAAUCACUCGGGGCAUCCCGACCCUCGAAUUUGGCGAAAAUAGCCCAAAAACGGAAGUCUACGCGAAAAACGGACUUAAGGAAACGAACCCUCCGAACCGAAAGUACUAUUCAUGAACCGAACCGAAAGUACUAUUCAUGAAGGUCCGAACCGAGACUACUGUUCAUCCGAGCCGAACCUCGCAUAGAAGGAAGGUCCGAACCGAGACUACUGUUCAUCCGAGCCGAACCUCGCAUAGAAGGAAGGUCCGAACCGAGACUACUGUUCAUCCGAGCCGAACAUCGCAUAAGAGGAAGAACCGAACCCGAAGGUACUGUUCAUUACUGUUCACAACAGUUCCUUCGGUUCUGGCUUCCCUUCGGACCGAACCUGCUUCCGCUUCUCGCCUUCGCUUC